rnacentral:rRNA from 1 species
GAUGAACGCUAGCUACAGGCUUAACACAUGCAAGUCGAGGGGCAGCAUGUCGGUUGCUUGCAACCGAUGAUGGCGACCGGCGCACGGGUGAGUAACGCGUAUCCAACCUACCCUUGUCCAUCGGAUAACCCGUCGAAAGGCGGCCUAACACGAUAUGCGGUUCUCAGCAGGCAUCUAACGAGAACGAAAUGUGAAGGAGAAGGAUGGGGAUGCGUCUGAUUAGCUUGUUGGCGGGGUAACGGCCCACCAAGGCUACGAUCAGUAGGGGUUCUGAGAGGAAGGUCCCCCACAUUGGAACUGAGACACGGUCCAAACUCCUACGGGAGGCAGCAGUGAGGAAUAUUGGUCAAUGGGGCGAGAGCCUGAACCAGCCAAGUAGCGUGCAGGAUGACGGCCCUAUGGGUUGUAAACUGCUUUUAUAAGGGAAUAAAGUGAGUCUCGUGAGACUUUUUGCAUGUACCUUAUGAAUAAGGACCGGCUAAUUCCGUGCCAGUAGCCG